UGGUUCAGUUGUAGAAUUCCCUGCCCCAACUUAUCCCGCAAAACACUGAGAAUCUCCCGACCUCCACCGUUUCCAUCCCAGACCCCCUGAAGAAGGGGAGGGGCUUGGGGAGCCCUACCUUGUCAUGUACCAUCAAUAAAGUAUACUGUACC